rnacentral:rRNA from 1 species
AUUGAACGCUGGCGGCAUGCCUAACACAUGCAAGUCGAGCGGAUGAACGGAGCUCGUGCUUGGAUUCAGUGACGGACGGGCGGGUAAUGCCUAGGAAUCUGCCUUGUCUAUGGGGCUAACGUCCGUUCACGGGCGCUAAUAUCGCAUACGUUAUGAUGUUGAAACUGGGGGAUCAUCGGUGCACACGCUACUUGCUGUCACUUAGACGUAUUAGCUAGUUGGUUGGGUAAAGGCGUACCAAGGCGACGAUCCGUAACUGGUCUGAGAGGCUGAUCAGUCACACUGGAACUGAGACACGGUCCAGACUCCUACGGGAGGCAGCAGUAGGGAAUAUUGGGCAAUGGGCGAAAGCCUGAUGCAGCAAUGCCGCGUGUGUGAAGAAGGUCUUCGGAUUGUAAAGCUCUGUUAGUAGGGAAGAACAGAUGUAAAAUAAUACGUGGAUGUUUUGACGGUACCUAAAGAGAAAGCACCGGCUAACUACGUG